GCUGUGGUGGCUCAGGGGCAGAAUUCUUGCCUUCCAUGCGGGGAGACCUGGGUUCGAUUCCCAGCCAGUGCA
rnacentral:tRNA from 1 species